ensembl:lncRNA
CAAGUUUAUACUGUAUAUGAUGGUUUUUUGUGUCAGGAUUAUGUCGGUAGGUAAUUGUUUUGUUUAUGCCAGAUGCCCAAGAAACCAGCAGGUGACCCGGAUUCCAUUUUCACAGUCCUCUGUUCAUCAAAAGAGGUCAUAGUCCAAAAUGGCAAUGUAGCUACUCCUUAAUCAGAGCAUCUGGACAAAGCUUAGUGAGCAGCUAGAAAACAAGAUCACUGUAAAGGCUCUAUAUUCUUUUGUUAAAUUGAACAGACACAACAUCUGGACUGCUUUAGGUUUUAUUUAUGAACGUGAUCAUGAAACAAGUGGCAGUAGUGAUGACACUGAUCUUGAGCCGGGGUCCCUUUCCCCCAGACCAAAAGAUUGCUGGACUUUUUUGCAAAAAUGAAACUUUUAUCAGCACAAACCAUUGAGACUGUUUGGGCUGAAUUUGGAGCAUGUGGGUGGGCUGGUGAUGUAAUCGCCUAGAACUUAAUGUCUAAUAUUUAAAAAACGGAAGCAGCACGAACACAACUUUUAUCGGCACAAACGGAGCACGAACGAUUGAGACUAUUUAGGAUGAAUUUGGAGUAUUGGGAGUGGCCUCAGAAUGACCUAUAAAUAUUCUUUUAAUAUCUCCAAAUCCGAAGAAACACAAAUGAGAAUAUUCAACUAUUGAAUAUUUUGCCAACGUUUUGCAUUGGGAGGGGGGGGCAACUUCACACAGGUGCUAAAAAGAGCAUGACGCGGACAACUGUGUGGAGAACGGCUACAGUAUAGCUACGGUGCCCUGGGAGGUGUGGCUAAAUGUGCAAUAUUACAUACAAAUCAUACAAGACUAAAAUAUGGGGGGGGCUGGAAUUGUUUCAGAUAUUGAGGUGUUGACUGUGGCAAAGUUAGAUUUAUUUUAUUUUUGGAUAGUAGCACAUGAACAGUACACCAAACUAUUACACAAAUACAUGAUUUAAGUGUCAUCAAAAAUUUAAGUCUAAAAACCCCAUGAUUCGGAGGUAGAGGAACUUUAUCUGUGCCACUGAAAUGUUAAGGACUGUUGCUGCAAAAAAGUCAAGUGUGAGAAGUUUGACAUCACCAACCACAUAAUUUCAGAAGGGUCUUCUUGACUAGGAGCCAUGCAGUUCAAGCCACUUCAAGUAACUACAGCCCAUGCAGGAAACCUAGCUAAAUAUUGGGUGGAAAGAACUAAAACACAUCCUAUUAAAGCCAGUAGCUCUAAAGUUACAACAAAAAGCGCCGUCCACUGCACAACAUAUUUGUAAUUGAGGUUGGUUUAUGAAUGUAGGUUAGUUUCUCUCAGAGAAGAUCAAAAUCCUGUUGUCAAUUGUUUUAUUUUUUCUUCAAAGUCGGUUUUAAAUGUUGAUAUGCAAAAAUAAAUAAAUAUCUCUCUGUGGCAUGGAGUCCAUAUAAGCUGCGAAUGCUCUGCGUCCCCGAGCCAUUUGAGAGAAUGAGAGCGGUGAUUGGCUAAUUAUUAAUAUUACUAUAAAUUUGUCAUUUGAGGUGUAGCAUCAAGCUUACAUACUAAAAUGUUAACUGUCAAUAAAUUAUGUAUUCGCCAAACGACUAAUUUUCUGCCAUCUGUUUCAGUUAUGGAGGGAUUGAGGCGAGCGGAUCCGCAACAGCUUUUGCGCCAAAGCUCUCUUGCUAUGACUCGUUCUCAUUGUUCUGUGUUCUUGUCGGUUUGUUGGCACACGGGUGAUUUCAUGCGCAGGAGAAGCGGUCACCGAAUCGCUCGUCCAAGUGGAAAAACAACUCGCGGUUGCCAGAUCUCGAUUAGCGAAAAUCACGAAGUAUUUGAAACCUUACUAAUGCUGCUAAAUCAAACGGACAACAGUUGUAAGUCUAUAUUUUCAUGUUUUCUCAAGCAAAACAAGUGUUGAACGUCCACUGAAACAUAUCACCUUAGAUUUUGUUGGUGUAGACAAAGCAUGUUUAAAGUGUCAUGAAACACUAAACUUCAUUUUCUGAGAUUGUGAGGGGGGAAAUUACUCACUUUUACUUUGUGAUAAUUUUGUUCUUGUUCUAUUUCUUUCUCAUCAGGGGAUUACGCCUAAGAAGGCUAUGUCAUGUCACUGAGAUCAGUACAGAAUGUUUAUCUGCUUAGAGACACAAACAUCAUGUUCUGUUCAAGGUUCAUCUGCACAUCUUCUGAGACCCUUAAACAAAGCCUAUUUGAACUGCCUCAAAACACUUCUUAUCGGUACACAGAGUUGGCAUCCUCUAUAUGUAUUUAUUUAUUAUUAUUUUUUAUACUUUUAUUUAUUUUUUUUAAUAUAAGACUGCGCGAGUCUUUUCAGCUUUUCUGGACAGCAUGCAACCCGGAGGCGCUGUGGAGAAGUUUUCACCCUGAAGUCCGUGUUGACACGCAGGCGGUUUGCCCUUUGUUGUGCAGAGCGAAAGACCGAUGCAGUCUUGCCACUGACCGUUAGGAAUCAUCACGAAACAGCCUUAAGGUGCAGACCGCGUCAUACUCCCAGAGAAGUACGCAACUUUGACAACCUACGCUCUCUGAACGUGGCCUCUGCAGAUUAGCUCUCGUUCUCGGACUUUGGAACUGCCAAUCUGCCGUCGACAAGGCAGAUUUCAUUCCUGCCUUUGCAACCCACUCCAACCUCAGUGUGUUGUCUCUGACUGAGACCUGGAUCCAUACUGAACACUGCCACUUCAACUUCUCCCAUACCUCAUGUCCCAACAGGCGAGGGAGUGAUACAGGUCAACUGUGGAAGUUCAUCGAUGAAUUUGACAUGCUACUGUCCACCAUACCGGAUGAUGGAACUCCUCCUGUGGUCCUUGGUGACUUCGACAUUCAUCUAGACAAGCCACAUGAUUUUCUUGCUCACCUUCUCACAUUUGACCUCAAGCAGUUCAUCACACCAGCAACCCACAAAACCGGCAAACAGCUCGACCUCAUCCUCACACAACAACCUCCUGGACACCAAGCAGUCUGGCUUCGAGAGCAAUCGCUCCACGGAGACCGCUCUGCUUUCGGUCACCGAAGCCUUACGACUAGCAAGAGCAACCUCUAGAUCCUACUCGACCUCUCUGCUGCUUUCGACACUGUGAACCGUCCGAUUCUCCUGUCGAUUCUGUCAAGCCCGGGCAUCGCUGGAACGGUUCUGCGCCGGGUGGAAUCCUAUCUCUCGGACAGAUCCUUCAAGGUAUCGUGGAGGGGAGGUAUUUCUGAAACUUGGCAACUCUCAAAGGCGUUCCACAGGGGUCAGUUCUGGGUCCACUGCUCUUUUCUAUCUACACUACAUCUCUAGGGCAGGUGAUUGAGUCUCAUGGCUUUGCAUAUCAUCGAUUAUGCUGACGACACCCAGCUCUAUUUGUCCUUCCAUCUCGGUCUGGAUGAGGGAACAACCUGGCAAAAUCUGAGAUUCUCGUCACCCCAGCCUCUCCCUCAAUCAACCACAACCUCACUGUACAGCUCGGCUCGACCACACUCGAGCCAACCAGGACGGCCAGGAACCUUGGGUGAUUCUCGAUGACGGCUUGACCUUGACGGACCACAUCUCAACAACUGCACGGUCCUGUACAACAUCGAGAAAGUCGGAUCCUACCUCACCAAACAGGCUACGUAGAUACUAGUCCAGGCUCUUGUUAUCUCAAAACUGGACUACUGCAACUCGCUACUCUCGGGCCUCCCGGCCGGCUCCAUCGAACACCUUCAAAAGAUUUCAGGAUGCAGCGGCAUGCCUCGUCUCCAACCAGCUCGAGAGAACCCGUGUCUCGUCUCCCUCCACUGGCUUCCUGUAGCCGCCCGCAUCAAAUUCAAGGCCUUGAUGCUCUCCUACAAGACCUUGUCUGGAUCAGCACCCUCCUACCUCAACUCUCUCUCCUGAAGGCUUGCGUUCCCUCACGCAGUCUGCGAUCGAUCGAUGACCGAUGCUUGGUAGUACCUACACUGCGUGGCUUAAGGUCCCUUUCAAGAACCUUCAAACUAACACUUCCAACCUCAAUCCGGAC